GGAAGAAUUGCGUUAGGCCCUUUGGCCCCGGACCAGUGUCUGCCAGCCACGUGCUCAGCCUCCCGUGCGCUAAAGCUCAGGUCCUUCCUGUCAUCCUGGUAUCCUGCACUGAGGUGUGUGAGCUCUUCCCCCCAGCAGGCCCCCUGGGAUUGACUGGCAAAGGUGAAUGGUGUCUGUGGAGGAAGACUUGCCAUUGGGUUGCUGGCCCCAGGCCAGUGGUUGUCAUCCAGGUGCCCAGCCUUGGUGCACUGAAGCUCAGGCCCUUCCUGGUGCUCUGGUCUCCUGCACUGAGCUGUGUGACCUCUUUUGCCCGGCAGACCCCCUGGCAUUGACCAGCAUAGAUAGUGAGACUGGAAGAAAACUUUCAUUGGGCCCGCUGUCCCGGGGUGAGUGGUCAUCAGUCAGGUGCCCAGCCCUUGGUGUGGUGAAGCUCAGGCUCUUCCU
rnacentral:lncRNA from 1 species